rnacentral:rRNA from 1 species
UUUUGGACAAUGGGCGCAAGCCUGAUCCAGCCAUUCCGCGUGAGUGAAGAAGGCCUUCGGGUUGUAAAGCACUUUCGGCCGGAACGAAAUCGCCUCCGUUAAUAGCGGAGGUGGAUGACGGUACCGGAAGAAGAAGCACCGGCUAACUACGUGCCAGCAGCCGCGGUAAUAGCCUACGGG